GAUUGUUAUCUUAGGAUCCGGUUCGGGUCAAAACCGGGUUUUUAUCUAUGGGUCGUUCCUGCAACUCUAUCAAAUUACAUCUCAGAACCGGGCAAGUCGGUAUUUGGGGUUCUCAUCGCUUGAUGAUUGUUCCUUCAUGCUCAUUUCUAAUUUUGAUUUUGUACAGUUAAUCCGUGCAUAUAAUAGUUGCUGGGUUGAAUUUAAAUUAUGUCUUAUAAGAAGUUCAUGGUUAUUAUUUUUUUUUUUUAUAAUGUAUGCUGUAAUGUGAUGUCAUUCCUCUUAUUUAGAAGAGGUUAUAAUUUACAUGCUUUCUUAUGUAAUGUGCAAUGUGAUUUAGUAUCAAACAUUUCUAAGCCUUUCAUAUCAAAAUUAUUUUAUUUGGGUGCAGAUUCAAUGGAGAUUUCUGAUGAGGCAGUACUAGUUGAUUGCAGUAGAUUGAAAUCAGCAGUCUGGAAAGACUUUGACGUGCUCAAAAGAGGUGAUGUAUGUAUUGAUGUUUGUAAGUAUUGUAAGAAGAAACUCAGUGGUUCAAGAACCAGAAAUUGGUUUCAUUGACUUGCAACAGUUGUCCAAUUCAUGACAACAUUGUAUGCAAAAUUAGAGACCGUUUAUGACCAAACAGACUUCUUUUAUGUAACAGUCAGUUAUUUGAAGUAAGAUGUGCUGCAAACCUUAUAAAGCCAUGGUUGAUGAUUGUCCUACUCUAGAAGCUUUAACUCCAACAAUCUCCAAAAUCCGUGAAGGCAUCAAGUACAUUUGAAGCUCACAAGGCGUUAGUGAAAAGUUCAAUGAAAUGGUUCAAGAAGUUGGACCAAACACAUUGUAUUACGAUAAUACCCUUCACUGGAAUUCAACUUAUAUCAUGCUUGAUGUUGGUUCAAGAAGUUGAACAAGAUUUUGCUUACACAAUGUGUCCAUCAGAUGAUGAUUGGAGUAGAGCUAAGUACAAUCUCUAGUUUUUUUACAACUUUCUACAGUCUUUGCAGAAAGAAAAUAUGUACUUCCCUGAAGUUUGUGACAUCCAUUUAAAACUAAUCGAAUGGUGCCAGAGUCCCGAUGAACAUAUAAGCGAAUUAUCUUUAAAAAUGAAAAACAAAUUCGAUGAAUAUUGGAAGAAAUGUGAAGUCUGACCUUGAUAAGUAUUUGGAAGAGCUUCUGUUUCCAAGAAAUGUUGAUUUUAAUAUAUUAAAUUGGUGGAGGUAUCCUGUUUGUCUAUGAUGGCGAGAAAUAUGUUUCAUUGGAUUCGGUUUUUUGAUACUGGAGAUAGAGUUGUUGUUGAUAAAUAUAGAAGCUCAUUGAGUGAAGAUACUUUGCAAGCUUUGAUUUGUGGACAAGAUUGGAUGGGAAAUGGUUUAGAAGAUUCCAAAUCGUCUUUGAGUUCACCUGCUUUGGGUAUCUGCUAUGACACAAAUUAGAUUAAAGUUGGUAACCGGUUCUUUCUUUGCUAGCCUUUGUUCAUAAAAUGUUUUGAUUUUUUAGGUAGAAUUUUUAUAGGCUGAUUUAUGGAAUAUCAUCAUGAUUGAUGCAGGGAAUUUAGUUUUAAUCUACUAAAUAAUGCAUGCACAUAUUUUGUAUCUUGGAGUUGAAUUAUAACCUCAUCAUUAAUGGGCCUUUGGCUUAAUGGUAACAAUCGAUCAUCUAAGACCCUUGGUGCUAAGGUUCAAGACAAGCCAAACAACCAAAAAGGUAAUAUCAAGCACUCUAAACUGUGUUGGGCAGUUUAAGUGAAAUACUUGGAUUAUCAUGGAAAGUUUGGUACUUUUUACUAAUUUAGACAAGGAUAUUACUUUUUGAUUCUCUGUUCAAUGUUAGAAGAGUUAACAAUAUUCUUGUAGAAUGUAGAGUGACCAAAUUGCUUAGAAGAAGUUCGUUUAAGCAAUGAACUGUAUGUCUGUGUCAUUAUGAUAAUGAUAAUUGUAAUAUUUCUCA